GAUGAACGCUGGCGGCGUGCCUAAUACAUGCAAGUAGAACGCUGAAGGAGGAGCUUGCUCUUCUGGAUGAGUUGCGAACGGGUGAGUAACGCGUAGGUAACCUGCCUGGUAGCGGGGGAUAACUAUUGGAAACGAUAGCUAAUACCGCAUGACAACAGUUAUUGCAUGAUAACUGUUUAAAAGGGGCAACUGCUCCACUACCAGAUGGACCUGCGUUGUAUUAGCUAGUUGGUGAGGUAACGGCUCACCAAGGCGACGAUACAUAGCCGACCUGAGAGGGUGAUCGGCCACACUGGGACUGAGACACGGCCCAGACUCCUACGGGAGGCAGCAGUAGGGAAUCUUCGGCAAUAGACGGAAGUCUGACCGAGCAACGCCGCGUGAGUGAAGAAGGUUUUCGGAUCGUAAAGCCCUGUUGUAAGAGAAGAACGAGUGUGAGAGUGGAAAGUUCACACUGUGACGGUAUCUUACCAGAAAGGGACGGCUAACUACGUG
rnacentral:rRNA from 1 species